rnacentral:lncRNA from 1 species
AAACCUCAGAUGUUGAUGCUCUUCUAGAACAUCAUUAUUUUCGAUCAACUGAAGAGGGAGCUGGUUCGUUGGUUAGAUGGAAAAAUACAAGAAGGGGAAAAAAUUAGAAGUAUUGAGAGACUCGACAUUAUCUUUGGUUGGGUGCGAAUGAAAACUGAUAAGGAUGUUAGGGAAAUGAUGUUUGGACGAGAUGACAUCACUUUGAUUGUUGUAAUCAGUUAGAAAUAUUAUGUUUUCAGUUUGCUUAUGUUGUAGUGAUGUUUGUU